CCCAGCACCACACUUUUCAACUCUAACCAAGCUCCUAAACAAUUGAAGCAAGACUUCACUAUUCCUUUAUUCAAAUUCUCUUGCUAUACAAGCUGACAUUCCAUGAGGCUUCCUAACAGCUUGCUGUCCAUACACGUUAGUCAUCAGUGACUUAAUGAAAAGGUUACCAAGGUCCAUUUGUGCAACUACACUUUGCAACCCCUAACAAAUUAAGAAAUGCACUGCACUAAAUUAUCUGUUCAAUUAUUUCUCUCCCAUUCCUGAUUCUCCAAAAGUCUUCUCUGUUUUAAAAUGCCACUCUCAACAGCAUAUAAGAUUUUUUUGCCUUAAUUGAGAUUGAUUGGUUAUGUAUUUCUAAUUAUUUAUAUUGUAAACAUAUAUCAGCACAUCAUUGAAGGCUGGUGAAAUGAACAAUUUUGCAAAUGUUGACAAAUUAAGCAAUAAUAAAUUAAGUGGAUUUUAAGUCACUAACCAGUUUACCGCAACAUUAAUUGUACCUUUUCAAUUCUAUCCACUGUCCAGGUUUCAGUUUGGUCUUCAUUGCCUACCCAGAGGCCCUUGCACAGUUGCCGUGGGCACCAUUAUGGUCUGUUUUAUUUUUCUUCAUGCUGUUCACUCUGGGAGUUGACACAGAGUUUGGAGGUUUAGAAACAGUUAUGACAGCCCUGCAGGACCAGUUCCCUACAUUGCUGUGAUCAAAGCGCCUUCUUCUGACAGCUGGAGUUUGUUCAUUAUUUUAUCUGCUUGGCCUUCUAUGUGUGACACAGGCUGGGAUUUACUUGUUAAAUUUUGUCGAUCAUUACGCUACGGACUGGAUUCUCCUUAUAACAGCUCUCCUACAACUCAUCGGUCUCAGCUGGAUUAAUGGGAUAAACAGAUUCAUCAAGGACAUUGAGAUGAUGAUUGGGGAAAGGAUUUGACUCCUGGCUCUGGUGGAGAAUCUGUUGGAUUCUGAUCUCUUCAUGUUUGCUGGUGGCAGUUUUAAUCUGGUCCUUAGCAACACUCACCCCUCCAACAUUUGGACCUGUUGAAUACCCUGUCUGGUCAGGAGCACUGGGCUGGUGUUUGGCCAUCUUCUGUAUUAUGUGGAUCCCCAUUGUGGCCAUGGUGAGAGUUGUCCAAGCUGAGGGCCCCACCUUGUGGCAGGAUAAGCAUUUUCCCACAAUGUAAGGCAGCAAUUCUCAUCCAAUAUUGGACAAGCAAAGGACAACCUUUCAUUAUUUGUUGUGUUCAAAACCAUAGAAACUUGUGGCUUUAUUCUCUUAGUAAGUACCUUUGAAACUGUGUUCAUCUUAAACAAACAUUGCUUAUCAGAGAUCACUACAAUCUUAUGUUACAAUAUUACUGAUACAGAUCCAAAUAUUCCUGCAUGGAUAAGUUGCCCAUCCUUAUCCCCUAUCUGGAAAAUAUCUGAGGUUCUGCUGUUCUGUUUGUUACCAUGGUCUCAUAUUUGACGCUGAGUUUAGUUCCUGACCACAUAUCUGCAUCCUCAACAAGAACAUUAAUCUCUACCUGGGAAUUGAUGUACAAUUUAUUCCCCUGUUCUUCACAUCUGCUACUGAGGUAGUGAAGUGGCAAUAUCACUGGGUUAAUAAUUGAGAACUGCAGGCUAAUUUUUUGGGGACACAGUUCAAAUCUCAUCAUGGCACAUUAAAAGGUGCAUUUGAUAAACAAUUGGAAUUAAAAACUUGUGUAACGGCAGCCAUGUAACCAUUAGCAAUUGUUGUAAAAUACCAAAGGGAAUCUGCGAUCUCAAACUGUCCACAUCUGCCUACAUGUGACCCCACAUCAACAGCAAUAUGGUUGACCCUUAACUGCCCUGGAGCAAUUCGGGAUGGGCAAUAAACACUGCCGUGGACAGUAAUGCCCACACCCCAUGGAUUAAUUUGUGCCGUAGAGUUGACUUUUCCAAUUGACCCUUGACUCACUUCCUGCACUCUAUCCUCCACAAAUUUGAGAACAUUCAAAUUUCUGUUGUCUGGUGCUUAAUUGCACUACGGUCCAAUCAGCCAACAUUCCUGUUUCUUGCUGAUCGACAUCGGUGAAUCAAAGCAACAAUUUUUAAAUGAUAAUCCUUCUUUUCAAAUUCCUCCAAGGACUCAUCCAUCCCUGUCUCAGCAUUCUUCUCCAACCCCACAAGCCGCUGAUACAUCUCCAGUGAUUUGAUUCUGAUUUCUUGAGCAUUUCUGAUUUUAAUUGUUCCACUAUUGGUAGCUGUGCCUUCAGCUGUUCUGAUCCUAGACAUGAAAAUACUCUCUGUAAAC